rnacentral:rRNA from 1 species
AGAGUUUGAUCCUGGCUCAGAUUGAACGCUGGCGGAAUGCCUUACACAUGCAAGUCGAACGGCAGCACGGGAGCAAUCCUGGUGGCGAGUGGCGAACGGGUGAGUAAUACAUCGGAACGUGCCCAAUCGUGGGGGAUAACGUAGCGAAAGCUACGCUAAUACCGCAUACGAUCUACGGAUGAAAGCAGGGGAUCGCAAGACCUUGCGCGAAUGGAGCGGCCGAUGGCAGAUUAGGUAGUUGGUGGGGUAAAGGCUCACCAAGCCUGCGAUCUGUAGCUGGUCUGAGAGGACGACCAGCCACACUGGGACUGAGACACGGCCCAGACUCCUACGGGAGGCAGCAGUGGGGAAUUUUGGACAAUGGGCGCAAGCCUGAUCCAGCCAUUCCGCGUGCAGGAUGAAGGCCUUCGGGUUGUAAACUGCUUUUGUACGGAACGAAAAGCCGCUUUCUAAUACAGAGCGGUCA